CCACUGGAAGUGCUGGAAAAGAAGCUGGGAUUUGUAUGAUUGAGCCAGCUGGUGGAAUUUCUGCACUUCAAAUGCUGAAUCAAAAGAAAGCGUCUAGGGAGAUGAAGUCCACGGAAUAUGAAAAGAAUUUGGAUUUGGAUGAUGAUGAUGUCUGGGAUAUCUCUUCUCUUUUGGAAGAGGACAAACAUUUAACAGUAAAGGGUGAAAAAGAUACCAUGACUGCUAACAAAAAUGAUAUCGUGAUUGGAUCUUCACAGAAGGUUCCAAACUGAGGGUUUGAUGUUGUCGUUCAUGACCAAAAGGCAACUGUAAAGGUCACUGUAUGAAGCUGAAGUCACUGUCACAAGAUGUAAACCACAGCUAUAAAAAUAGCUUAAAUGUUCUGUGAAGAUGGAUAAAGAAAAGAAUCAGUGCCAUAAAAUAAGUUCUUAACCUGUAGUUGGUACUCCGUUACCAGUUUUUCAGCUUUUACUAACCUUUAGUUUCAGAAGACAGUACAUCUUUUUGAUGUAGGUUUCAAGAUUAAGCAAAACUUUUCUUAUAUCAUAACUUUCAAUACUGAAUGUU